GACGGAGGAUGCAAGUGUUAUCCGGAAUCACUGGGCGUAAAGCGUCUGUAGGUGGUCAAAUAAGUCAACUGUUAAAUCUUGAGGCUCAACCUCAAAACCGCAGUCGAAACUAUUAGACUAGAGUAUAGUAGGGGUAAAGGGAAUUUCCGGUGGAGCGGUGAAAUGCGUAGAGAUCGGAAAGAACACCAACGGCGAAAGCACUCUGCUGGGCCGACACUGACACUGAGAGACGAAAGCUAGGGGAGCGAAUGGG
rnacentral:rRNA from 1 species